rnacentral:misc_RNA from 1 species
GAAAUGCGAUAAGUAAUGUGAAUUGCAGAAUUCAGUGAAUCAUCGAAUCUUUGAACGCACAUUGCGCCCGCCAGUAUUCUGGCGGGCAUGCCUGUCCGAGCGUCAUUUCAACCAUCAAGCCCCCGGGCUUGUGUUGGGGACCUGCGGCUGCCCGCAGGCCCUGAAAACCAGUGGCGGGCUCGCUGUCACACCGAGCGUAGUAGCAAUCACCUCGCUCAGGGCGUGCUGCGGGUUCCGGCCGUUAAACAGCCUUACAAAACCCAAGGUUGACCUCGGAUCAGGUAGGAAGACCCGCUGAACUUUAGC